AUUAACUUCCCAGAGGAUGAAGUGGUACGCGGGUCGGAGGGAGAUAUCGAAGAGAUUGGUGGACCAUCUAACCUAGGUCCCACCAUGCCUUUACCCCGCGCAGCUUCACCCCUCGCCCCCAGCAAAGCCCCUUCCCCCCCCCCUGGAGAUGACAAUGAGCCCGUCAGCGUCACCAUCACCGUCAAAGCUACGGGCUCAUAAUCGUACCUGGAAAUCACUCGAUUGUAAUUUAACCUGGAAUGGAUAGUUUUUUGUUGACAGUUUGUAAUGUAUGUAUGUACAGCCUGUGACUAACAUCUCAACUUAACUACAACAGUUCUCCUAAUAUCACUCAGUGAUUCAGCAUGGACAUAACGAUGCAUUGAUUUUUAAAUUAAACUAUAUGAAUGUA